rnacentral:rRNA from 1 species
GGUGAACGCUGGCGGCGUGCCUAACACAUGCAAGUCGAGCGGUGCAGUUUGAAGCUUCGGUGGAAAGCUGCAUAGCGGCGGACGGGUGAGGAAAACGUAGGAACGUGCCCCUUGGAGUUGGAUAGCCACGGGAAACUGUGGGUAAACCGACAUAGACUCGAGAGAGUAAAGGCCGAAAGGCGCCAAGGGAGCGGCCUGCGGCCCAUCAGGUAGUUGGUAGUGUAAAGGACUACCAAGCCGACGACGGGUAGCCGGUCUGAGAGGAUGGCCGGCCACAAGGGCACUGAGAGACGGGCCCUACUCCUACGGGAGGCAGCAGUGGGGGAUUUUGGACAAUGGGCGAAAGCCUGAUCCAGCGACGCCGCGUGGAGGACGAAGCCCUUCGGGGUGUAAACUCCUUUUCUCAGGGAAAAAGGAUGAUGGUACCUGAGGAAUAAGCCCCGGCUAACUACGUGCCAGCAGCCGCGGAAUCUCGUCUCUA